UGUCCGUCGCAAAAUUUCGCGUUCCCUGCCCUCACUUCCAAUUUGCCCGCCCUCACCCGCCAUUCUCUUCUCUCUCUCUGCUGAUUCCUCAGAUCCUCCCUGCACUCGCUGUUCUCCCUGCCUCUCCCUCUUUCGUCUCUCGAUCAGAUCUGCACUCGCUGUACCCCUCGCUAGAUAUAGAACCUACCCCUCGCACCGCAGCUUCGAUGAUGGUGGAGAGGACGCGCCGCCGCGGAGGAGGAGGAGGAGCAGCAGCAGCUGGGCCCCGCGUCCCUUCGGGUUCCCUCGCCCCCCCGUGUUUCCCUCGCCCCCCUCCCUCCCUCGUCCGAAUUGGGGGGCGGCGCCGCCGAGCUGGCCUCGAGUAAAACACUUAUCAGCAUGGCAAGCCAACUUUGAUUGAUGGGGAUGUAUUAACUUGGUAUCCUAACCCAGGAAGAAUCUCCUAGGAUAUUGACUCAUGGCUAGGAAGGGCAAUCAGCAGAAGAAUGGGGUUAGUCGUUCCUCACAGAAUGGCAAAAAGAAGGGUUCAGAAACACAUCAAGAAAGAAGACAAGCUGCUGACGUGAAGAUUCCUCCUAAAGAGACAACUGUGAACAGUCAUCACUCGAGCAACGUGUCGGCUGAGAGCAUGAGUCAAGGAACUGGGAAACUAAUGAGUAUGGAUAAACAAGGGACAGAUGCAGCUCAGGGAUUAGAGCACCCAGUUCUGUCUGGGGAAUCUUCAGGGGAUUAUAUUCAAAAUGCAUCUCCUAUGGGCAUGUCCCACGAGAGAGAACAAGGUGGACUACAUUGUGAUAAUAAUUGUCAAAAUAGCCGAAAAGGUGGCCUGGGCUGCAAGCUGAAUGGGCAUAUAACAAAUCUAAUAGAAAAUGUCCACAUAUUUGACAAUUUAGUUGUUAGAAAUGUGAGAAGAUCAGUUUUGUGUGUCCUAAAGGCAGCUGGAGAGUGGCUAGAGUCACAAAGACCUUUUGUCAUUAAUUUAAAAGGUGACAUACUAAAGGCUCGUGACUAUGUCAAAGUGAAGAUUGAGCUGGCCUACCAGGUUGUUUUGAAAUGGCUUGUAUACUUUGGGAACAUAAUGUUUCUCUUAUCAAUGAUUUGGUUGGAUUGCACUCUUAGGGGAAUCGAUUCUUUCCUACAUAUGGGGACUACAUCUUUCUUUUCUAUCAUAUGGUGUGGAAUUUUCUCAGCUAUCGCUAUGGUCGGCAUGGUAAAGUUUCUUGUGGUCUCGGUAAGUCACUCAUCACUUUUUUCCUUUUAGGUCGAAAAGUCACUCAUCACUUCACAAGCUACUUUUAUUGACUUCCUAUUGUAUUGCUGGUUCAAGUUAUCCUUUCCCAUCCUGACAUGACCUGUUACCCUGGAUCCAUUCAUGUUUGUAUGUCAAUAUUUCAUCCUGAACUGAGCUUAUAAAUAUGUGCAACUCCUCCUUCUUCCUGUCAAAGUAGAAGAAAUCAAAAUAAGCAUAGAGUAUUACCUGUUGUCACUUCCAAACUCCUUGGAGCCACACGGUAUUGUUGCUGGAUUUUAUCUAGUAAGAUACACAUCCUCUUUUGUCUAUGUUCCUAGAAUUCAUUCCUCAGUUGCUCUUUCUGAAAUGUUCAGAAUAACUCUAUUAAGCACUUUUUGCUUCUGCUGCAUUCCUUUUUACUGACUGAAGUUUGCAUUCAUUCAGGUGCAAUGAUGUUCUUGUGGGUAUUUUUGUGGGGUUUGCCGCUGCACUUUUGCUGCUUGCACUUUGUGGCACUGUCUUCUUGUGGUUUUAUGGAAGUUUUUGGACAACAGCUCUUGUAAUCAUCCUUGCAGGUAUAUCAUUCACAUUGAGCCAUGAACGCCUUGCACUUUUCAUAUCCUCACAAUCUAUGCCGUGUACAGUCAUUAUGUAUCCUUUAGAAGCUGAAUAUAUUAACAUUUAAUGUGGAAACAAUGUCACUAAUUUUGUGUCUAAUUCCAGACAAUUUAUGUUUUGUAGAAGAACAGCUUUGAGCAAUUCUGCAUAAGUUAUGCAAAUGAGAGGUUGCAGCAACAUUUCAACCGGCAUUUGUUAAAACUGGAGCAGGAAGUGAGCAUCUCACAUGGACUGUGUCUUUGUUCAGUAGUUAUAUGAUGGGUGUUGUCGCUAAAAGCAGGAUAUUAUUUUUUGAUUCAUUUCUGUCGUCAUUAUUUAUUGUGCAAAGAUUAGUUAUUGUGCAAGAUUAUUUAUUCUCUCAUUAUGUGUACUAUAAAGAAAAAUAUUUAUGUCAUUCUUGUGGAAAAUGUAGAUGAAUGUAUUUCAUUUUCAUAUUAUUAUAA